AUUGAACGCUGGCGGCAGGCUUAACACAUGCAAGUCGAGCGGGGGAAGGUAGCUUGCUACCGGACCUAGCGGCGGACGGGUGAGUAAUGCUUAGGAAUCUGCCUAUUAGUGGGGGACAACAUCUCGAAAGGGAUGCUAAUACCGCAUACGUCCUACGGGAGAAAGCAGGGGAACUUCGGACCUUGCGCUAAUAGAUGAUCCUAAGUCGGAUUAGCUAGUUUGUGGGGUAAAGGGCGACCAAGGCGACGAUCUGUAGCGGGUCGGAGAGGAUGAUCCGCCACACUGGGACUGAGACACGGCCCAGACUCCUACGGGAGGCAGCAGUGGGGAAUAUUGGACAAUGGGGGGAACCCUGAUCCAGCCAUGCCGCGUGUGUGAAGAAGGCCUUAUGGUUGUAAAGCACUUUAAGCGAGGAGGAGGCUACUUUAGUUAAUACCUAGAGAUAGUGGACGUUACUCGCAGAAUAAGCACCGGCUAACUCUGUGCCAGCCGCCGCCGUAA
rnacentral:rRNA from 1 species